GCUAGUUGGUGAGGUAAAGGCCCACCAAGGCGAUGAUGGGUAGCCGGCCUGAGAGGGUGUACGGCCACACUGGGACUGAGAUACGGCCCAGACUCCUACGGGAGGCAGCAGCUAAGAAUAUUCCGCAAUGGACGAAAGUCUGACGGAGCGACGCCGCGUGGAUGAAGAAGGCCGAAAGGUUGUAAAGUUCUUUUGCUAGGGGAGAAUAAGUGAGGGAGGGAAUGCCCUCAUGAUGACAAGGACUAGCGAAUAAGCCCCGGCCAACUACGUGCCAGCAGCCGCGGUAACACGUAGGGGGCGAGCGUUGUUCGGAAUUACUGGGCGUAAAGGGCAUGUAGGCGGCUUGGUAAGCCUGGCGUGAAAGACUGCAGCUUAACCGUAGGGAUGCGUUGGGAACUGCUUAGCUUGAGUUACGGAGAGGGAGCUGGAAUUCCUGGUGUAGGGGUGAAAUCUGUAGAUAUCAGGAAGAACACCGAUGGCGAAGGCAAGCUUCUGGUCGAUAACUGACGCUGAGGUGCGAAAGUGUGGGGAUCAAACAGGAUUAGAUACCCUGGUAGUCCACACUGUAAACGAUGUGCACGAGGUGCUGGGGCGGUAGUUUCAGUG
rnacentral:rRNA from 1 species